UACGUAGGCAGCGAGCGUUGUUCGGAAUUACUGGGCGUAAAGAGUGUGUAGGUGGUGCUCUAAGUUCGGUGUGAAAUCUCCCGGCUCAACUGGGAGGGUGCGCCGAAUACUGAAUGACUCGAGUGUGGGAGAGGUGAGUGGAAUUCCUGGUGUAGCGGUGAAAUGCGUAGAUAUCAGGAGGAACACCGGUGGUGUAGACGGCUCACUGGACCAUAACUGACGCUGAGACACGAAAGCGUGGGUAGCAAACAGG
rnacentral:rRNA from 1 species